GGAAGGAUCAUUAUCAGUUCAUGGCUGUACAUGCUGCAUGUGCAAUCCAAGAUAAACCACUCUGCGUAUUUUUCCUGUUGCUUCCAUGGGGCAUGGUGCUUGCGCCGCUCUGCCGGCACGGUCCUCGAGGCCACCGCCGUCCGGGAGUCCUCAUGGAAGGUCACCCAGCAAACCCUUUGCCUGCUCAUGAUUUCUGUCUGAAUGUGAUUUAUCGAAAUGUUAAAACUUUCAACAACGGAUCUCUUGGUUCUUGCAUCGAUGAAGAACGCAGCGAAAUGCGAUAAGUAGUGUGAAUUGCAGAUCUCAGUGAAUCAUCGAAUCUUUGAACGCACAUUGCGCCCCUCGGCAUUCCGGGGGGCAUGCCUGUUCGAGCGUCAUCAAAACCACCUCAAGGCAUUUUUAUGUUCUUGGUCCUGAAGGUUGAUUGGUUCGAUUUGCCACUCACCUUCGAAAUGAAUUGGCGGGUUGCAAUCUUCAACGAGUGUAAUAACAUUUACCAUUCAUGAGUCGAUCGUUGCACAUCUUGCCAUUGACCCCCACACAUUUCCAGGUUGACCUCGGAUCAGGUAGGGAUACCCGCUGAACUUAAGCAUAUCAAUAAGCGGAGGAAAAGAAACCAACAGGGAUUGCCUCAGUAACUGCGAGUGAAGCGGCAAAAGCUCAAAUUUGAAAUCCGGCGUCUCUGGCGUCUGAGUUGUAAUUUGGAGGGGCAUCUUCGAGGUUGGCGUCGUCCUAAGUUCCUUGGAACAGGACGUCACAGAGGGUGAGAAUCCCGUGCCUGGACGGAUGUCCGGCCUCAUGUGAAGUGUCUCCGACGAGUCGAGUUGUUUGGGAAUGCAGCUCAAAAUGGGUGGUAAAUUUCAUCUAAAGCUAAAUAUUGGCGAGAGACCGAUAGCGCACAAGUAGAGUGAUCGAAAGAUGAAAAGCACUUUGAAAAGAGAGUUAAAAAGUACGUGAAAUUGUUGAAAGGGAAGCGCUUGAGACCAGACUCGACUGG
rnacentral:rRNA from 1 species